UACGUAGGGGGCAAGCGUUAUCCGGAUUUAUUGGGUUUAAAGGGUGCGCAGGCGGAAUGUCAAGUCAGCGGUAAAAUUUCGGGGCUCAACCCCGUCGUGCCGUUUGAACUGGCGCGCUUGAGUUCAGGCGAGGUAGGCGGAAUUCGUGGUGUAGCGGUGAAAUGCAUAGAUAUCACGAAGAACUCCGAUUGCGAAGGCAGCUUACCAGUCUGCGACUGACGCUCAGGCACGAAAGUGUGGGUAUCGAACAGG
rnacentral:rRNA from 1 species